GACGAACGCUGGCGGCGUGCUUAACACAUGCAAGUCGAACGAAGAGCGAUGGAAGCUUGCUUCUAUCAAUCUUAGUGGCGCACGGGUGAGUAACGCGUAAUCAACCUGCCCUUCAGAGGGGGACAACAGUUGGAAACGACUGCUAAUACCGCAUACGAUCUAAUCUCGGCAUCGAGGAUAGAUGAAAGGUGGCCUCUACAUGUAAGCUAUCACUGAAGGAGGGGAUUGCGUCUGAUUAGCUAGUUGGAGGGGUAACGGCCCACCAAGGCGAUGAUCAGUGGCCGGUCUGAGAGGAUGGACGGCCACAUUGGGAAUGAGACACGGCCCAGACCCCUACGGGAGGCGGCAGGGGGGAAUCUUCCGAAAUGGACGAAAGGCUGAAGGAGCAACGCCGCGUGAGGGAUGAAGGCCUUCGGGUUGUAAAGCUCUGUUAAUCGGGACGAAAGGCCUUCUUGCGAAUAGUGAGAAGGAUUGACGGUACCGGAAUAGAAAGCCACGGCUAACUACGUG
rnacentral:rRNA from 1 species